rnacentral:rRNA from 1 species
GAUGAACGCUGGCGGUGUGCCUAACACAUGCAAGUCGAGCGAUGAAACCCUUCGGGGUGGAUUAGCGGCGGACGGGUGAGUAACACGUGGGUAACCUGCCUCAAAGAGGGAAUAGCCUUCCGAAAGGAAGAUUAAUACCGCAUAAUAUGUUUUGGUCGCAUGACUGAGACAUCAAAGGAGUAAUCCCGCUUUUGAGAUGGACCCCGCGGCGCAUUAGCUAGUUGGUGAGGUAACGGCUCACCAAGGCGACGAUGCGUAGCCGACCUGAGAGGGUGAUCGGCCACAUUGGAACUGAGACACGGUCCAGACUCCUACGGGAGCUG